GGGCACAUGGUGUAGUUGGUUAUCACGCCCGCUUAGCAUUUGUCAAUGUUUGCGGGCGGUGCCCGGUUCAAUUCCGGGUGUGUCCA
rnacentral:tRNA from 1 species